GUGCAGUGAUGUGUGAAUUUCUUCACCUGAAAUCACUGAAGAGGAAAUCGAGCUUUUUAACCCUGAGUCACA